GGGGUUGUAGCUCAGUGGUAGAGCACCCGCCUCGCUCGUGUGAGGCACUGGGUUUGAUCCUCAGCACCACA
rnacentral:tRNA from 1 species